rnacentral:lncRNA from 1 species
CACCAAGUCUAUUUCACUGAAGGUGUUGUUCAAACUGAAUCUAAUUUUCUUCUGAAUGGAGCCACCGCUUGAGCAAGCAUAACUGUUUCUGGUUGAAUUUGAAUCUUUAUUUGAGGCUUUCCUAUCACAAUUAUGUUUAUCACUCAUGCCUAGGGUGGAGGUCGUUCAUCUAGGUUUCAUUCCCGCGGUUGUUUUUCACAUAUUUGGCUAAAAUUCCUCA